GAUGAAGAAACGUAGUGAAAUGCGAUAAGUAAUGUGAAUUGCAGAAUUCAGUGAAUCAUCGAAUCUUUGAACGCACAUUGCGCCCCUUGGUAUUCCGAGGGGCAUGCCUGUUCGAGCGUCAUUAUAACCCCUCAAGCUCAGCUUGGUGUUGGGGCCUGCUGCACUGGCAGCCCUUAAAAUCAGUGGCGGCGCCAUCUGGCUCUAAGCGUAGUAAUUCUUCUCGCUAUGGAGUCCUGGUGGAUGCUUGCCAUCAACCCCCAAUUUUUCUAUGGUUGACCUCGGAUCAGGUAGGGAUACCCGCUGAACUUAAGCAUAUCAAUAAGCGGAGGA
rnacentral:misc_RNA from 1 species